rnacentral:rRNA from 1 species
AACGAACGCUGGCGGCAUGCCUAACACAUGCAAGUCGAACGAGACCUUCGGGUCUAGUGGCGCACGGGUGCGUAACGCGUGGGAACCUGCCCUUAGGUUCGGAAUAACUCCCCGAAAGGGGUGCUAAUACCGGAUAAUGUCUUCGGACCAAAGAUUUAUCGCCUUUGGAUGGGCCCGCGUUGGAUUAGCUAGUUGGUAGGGUAAAAGCCUACCAAGGCGACGAUCCAUAGCUGGUCUGAGAGGAUGAUCAGCCACACUGGGACUGCGACACGGCCCAGACUCGUACGGAAGGCAGCAGUGGGGAAUAUUGUGCAAUGGACGAAAGCCUGGUCCAGCAAUGCCGCGUGAGUGAGGAAGGCCUUAGGGUUGUAAAGCUCUUUUACCCGGGAUGAUAAUGACAGUACCGGGAGAAUAAGCACCGGCUAACUCCGUG